rnacentral:lncRNA from 1 species
CGGGUGAAGAGCUCAGAGCUGGGAAGCAAACAGCUGCUGUAGCCUGAUUUGAGUUCAAAUAGUGUGAGUGUUUAGUCUGGCGCACUGCUUGGGGAGAGAUUGGCAGCUGGGUCAAACAAAGUCAUUCCACUGGCUUCUUUCCCGGUCAGCUUCUGCUAGUACUUCGGUACUAGUGCAGUGUAGGCUUCUUUUCUCAGGCAUAGCUCAACAUCUGACCCCACCCUCUUAGCUUUAAAAAAAAAUGCCUUUUUCUUCUUUAGGAAAAAUAUGUUAUGCAACGUUUCCCACUAAUUAUGUAUUGCGAAUGUAUUUUAUCUUAAAAGCUGAAGAAUUGGAGUCUCAGUAUAGUGUAGAAAGCAGUCAGUUACAGUGCUAGAUUAAUAAAAAGGGCCUUUAUGGUUUGUGAAAGGCUAUCUGUGUGCUUAAGCAGGAAAGUUUUUGAUCCACAGGGGGGAAAAGCCAGAAGACAUCUCGAAUAAACCAUGUCUACUUCAGGAGCUUAUGUCUUCACUGGUUCCUGUGGUCCUCUCAUUAGCCAUACUGCAGCCAGGGAAAUGACAGCCACAGAAGUACUGAAGAUUGGUAAGAAAAGGGCAAAACAAAAGAAGUCUAUGAGUUGUUGAAUAGUCCUGUAAAAGUCU